rnacentral:SRP_RNA from 1 species
ACGGGGCGCGGUGGCUCAAGCCUGUAAUCCCAGCUACUCAGGAGGCUGAGGCAGGAGAAUCGCUUGAACCCGGGAGGCAGAGGUUGCAGUGAGCCAAGAUCACACCACUGCACUCCAAACUGGACAGCAGAGUGAGACNNNNNNNNNNGUCUCACUCUGCUGUCCAGUUUGGAGUGCAGUGGUGUGAUCUCGGCUCACUGCAACCUCUGCCUCCCGGGUUCAAGCGAUUCUCCUGCCUCAG